CCUACGGGAGGCAGCAGUGAGGAAUAUUGGUCAAUGGACGCGAGCCUGAACCAGCCAAGUAGCGUGAAGGAUGACUGCCCUACGGGUUGUAAACUUCUUUUAUAAAGGAAUAAAAUGAGGCACGUGUGCCUUUUUGUAUGUACUUUAUGAAUAAGGAUCGGCUAACUCCGUGCCAGCAGCCGCGGUAAUACGGAGGAUCCGAGCGUUAUCCGGAUUUAUUGGGUUUAAAGGGAGCGUAGAUGGGUUGUUAAGUCAGUUGUGAAAGUUUGCGGCUCAACCGUAAAAUUGCAAUUGAUACUGGCAGUCUUGAGUACAGUUGAGGUAGGCGGAAUUCGUGGUGUAGCGGUGAAAUGCUUAGAUAUCACGAAGAACCCCGAUUGCGAAGGCAGCCUACUAAACUGUGACUGACAUUGAUGCUCGAAAGUGUGGGUAUCAAACAGGAUUAGAUACCCUAGUAGUC
rnacentral:rRNA from 1 species